GACGAACGCUGGCGGCGAGCUUAACACAUGCAAGUCGAACGAUGAAGCCGGAGCUUGCUCUGGUGAAUUAGUGGCGAACGGGUGAGUAACACGUGAGUAACCUGCCCUUGACUCUGGGAUAACUGCUAGAAAUGGUAGCUAAUACCGGAUACGACCCUCGGAGGCAUCUUCAGGGGGUGGAAGGAAUUUCGGUCAAGGAUGGACUCGCGGCCUAUCAGCUAGUUGGUGAGGUAAUGGCUCACCAAGGCGACGACGGGUAGCCGGCCUGAGAGGGUGACCGGCCACACUGGGACUGAGACACGGCCCAGACUCCUACGGGAGGCAGCAGUGGGGAAUAUUGCACAAUGGGCGCAAGCCUGAUGCAGCAACGCCGCGUGAGGGAUGACGGCCUUCGGGUUGUAAACCUCUUUUAGUAGGGAAGAAGCGAAAGUGACGGUACCUGCAGGAAAAGCACCGGCUAACUACGUGCCAGCCGCCGCGGUAA
rnacentral:rRNA from 1 species